CGUGUAGGCGGCUUGGUAAGUCGGAUGUGAAAGUCCCGGGCUCAACCCGGGAAGUGCAUUCGAAACUGCUAGGCUUGAGUAAGAGAGAGGAAAGUGGAAUUCCUGGUGUAGAGGUGAAAUUCGUAGAUAUCAGGAGGAACACCGGUGGCGAAGGCGACUUUCUGGCUCUAUACUGACGCUGAGACGCGAAAGCGUGGGUAGCAAACAGGAUUAGAUACCCUGGUAGUC
rnacentral:rRNA from 1 species